GUGACUCGUGCCUAUUCAUGUGAGCAGUGCCUAUUCAUGUGAGCAUCGCAGGUGAUCGCAUGACUCGUGCCUAUUCAUGUGAGCAUCGCAGGUGAUCAUGUGAGCAGUGCCUAUUCAUGUGAGCAGUGCCUAUUCAUGUGAGCAUCGCAG